AUUGAACGCUGGCGGCAUGCCUAAUACAUGCAAGUCGAACGAGUGGCGGACGGGUGAGUAAUGUAUGGGUAUUUCCCCCUUGAGGGGGGUAACUACUUGAAACUGUGGCUAAUACCGCCUUCUAUCGGAUAUCCCAUAUGGGAUUAGCUAGUCGGUAAGGUAAUGGCCUACCUAGUCGACGAUCCCUAGCUGGUCUGAGAGGAUGAUCAGCCACACGGCGGAUAGGACACGGCGAAGAAUGCGACGGAGGCAUGGGUGGGGAACAUUGCGCAAGGAGCACAAGGCUAAUGCAGCCAUGGCGCGUGUAUGAAGAGGGCCCUAGGGUUGUAAAGUACUUUCAGUCUGGAGGCGUUACCGACAGAAGAAGCACCGGCUAACUCCGUGCCAGCAGCCGCGGUAAUAC
rnacentral:rRNA from 1 species